rnacentral:tRNA from 1 species
GAGGGUAUAGCUCAGUGGUAGAGCGUGUGCUUAGUAUGCACAAGGUCCUGAGUUCUAUCCCCAGCACCUCCA